CAACUUUCGGUUUAAUCGUAGCGAGCAAAUCAUCGACCGUUUUUGCAAACAUUCUAAGACCAUUUUCAUAUUCUUUCUUAUGUCUGAUGACUAGCUUCGGAUAUUUUUACGACGUUUUCAGGUAUCCAUUUUUUAUUAAGUAUCCAGUUGAAGCUACUUGCCACUCGUUACUCAACGAUUCCGAGUCGAUUAAUUCGACUUAUAUCGACGUUUAUAUAAUCGAGGCUUUAAAAUCGUUAUGAGUGCCGAAUUUUUCCUGCGAAUGCAAAUUUAAGGUUAUGUAACGAAAGGAGCGUAAAAAACAUAAACAGAGAAUUUUGGUGUUAACCAAUAGGAUACCAAUAGCAAUUAAAACAAGUAGCACGGUACUGCGUGUUAAGUAACGCUAUUUGUGCUCGUACACAAGCAACGUUCAACAAUCAAACACGUAAACUCAAUUAUUAUACGCCGCCACACUUUGUCAAAUAGUGCGUCGUAAACUGCAUUAAAGCAGAAUCGAAUAAUUUGAAAAUAUCAUCGAUACUUGUGCGAUCAAAGAACGAGAGAAAGUAUCGAUUGCAACAAAGCGCUGGUGCUCGCUAUUCGAUAAUUAAUACAGCGAUCCAGUUACUCGUUUCUGCCUCGUAUCUUGGUGUCUGAAAGGGAAACAACUGAAAAAUAGAAUACGGAUGUACGGCUGUCUACAAACAUUACGAGUUAUUAACGGUUGCGUAAGUUACUCGCCGGGUCGCAUAUUAAUACUUGCAUUUGCAUGAUCCGCGUUGCUCGGUUCGUAGCAAGAAACGGCCAAAGUUCCCGUGAGAACACGUGGACGACAAAAGCCGGCCCAACGAUUUUCCGAGCGACAGCUACGCGUAUCGAGAAUCGAAUCGACGCCGCAGCGUGGUUCGAGUUGGCCGACCUCCGCCGACCUCCAUCGCUCGUUCGACAAUUUCCGCGCAGAGGCCGACGCGCGCCUCGUGCCUUUCCGGGUCGCCGGCGGAAGCAUACGAACAUCUACGACGAAAAACCGAGCCACCAACCCGAAAUGGGAAGUGACACCAACACUAGGGACGUACCAUCGUCUCUCUUCUUCCCUGUAUCCUUUCGUAUCUGAAUCUUCGAAAUACGUAAAAUUUCGUAGAAAUACCGACUCAUGUAGUUAUUUUCCAACAGUAUUUUUUUCUGUCAGGUCCAUUCUGCGUUUUGGCCAUACGAUAGAGUAUAAAAAUGACAGGAAAUUUAACGUUAAAGUUUCAUGUUGAUAUAUUAUGAAUUUCAGUAACUUUUGCACUGAGACAAUCUUUUACCGGAUUAGCAACGCUCGUUUUGUAAAGUUACAUUUCCUUUUUAUGCUUCUCGUUUUAUAAAUUUUCUUCUGUUCGCCAUUGUACUAAUUUCUUUUUCUCUCUGCAUCUAUUUGGAUAUUACUCGGGCCUAAUUAAUUAGUAUGUAAAUGCUACAAUAAAUACUAUGGUGUGGUUUUUCGGCCACCGUUGAUAAUUACGUUAAGACAUUCAAUCAGAAAUUGACUUUCUGAAAAUCACUUUCGUAAAAUAUUUUUACGUCAUAAUUGCAGUUGCAGCUUUCGAAAUUUAUUAUAUUAUAGUUUAACAUAUUUUCUGUCGAGUUUACUAGUUUCAGUUAAUUAUGUUUGCGGAAUAUGCAUUUCUCUUUAACACAGUAAAAACGUAGUCAGAGAUUUUAUUAAAAUUUUAAUUAAAACGUUUCGUUAUUAAUUUUUUUAACUAAUAAUUUUACACGCUUGUUGCAACGAUUUUUCUACGAAUUUGUAAAACUCGCGCACGGCUACUAUAAGAUUAAAAAUUACUUUGUGCUAUUCAUUUUUUUAGGGGAGGGGUUUAAAUCUCAAGCAAUGUCUUCAUAUAUGUACAACGGAAGAUCAUAAUGACGCCAUGAAGACGUAUCGCGGCAGAGAAUAAAGUUAUGACUAACUUAAUUAUAAAGCCUGCCAUACAUUGUUCGAAUCUACUUAUUAAUGAUAAUAAACACCUUCCAACAUAUCGGUAAUGGACAGAAGAUUACACGUAAAUCGUUGCGGAAUAAUUCGGAGGAGAGAAGAAUCCAACGAAAAUUCAGCGAGGACUCUGCAAACGAAUUAAUACGAAUUUCAGUCGAACUUUCGAGUCACAAUUCCGCUGUAAAUAGUCGAUGCUAUGAUAUCUCGCAGCCGCUGCUAUAAUGGAGUAAUAAUUCGCUCAUAAACUAACACUAUCGGCCGUUGCAACUAGUAUAUACCAUUUCUUUUCCUCUUUCUUGCUAAUAAUAACGCCGACAUUAAAUAGGUUGCAAGCCGAUUAAUUCGACCCUUAUCGGAUCAUACGCUCGGAAGUGUGCAAAUUAAUUUUUUCCGCAAGGAGUUGCUCGCCAUUUAAUCGAACCGUACUUUAAGUGAGCUGUUCGAUUUGAUAAUCCAUGAAAUUAGCCUCGUCAUUCUCGUUGCAGAUUGUCACCUGUAUAAACUGCCGAACCGUUCGUUUACACCUCUUUGCUCUUUAUACAAGUUAGCUGAAAGCUGGCCAUCUAACUUUCUGCAAACGUUUCUUUACUUUAUCAUCGCUGGUAGCUUUUUAUUCGGAUAAUUUGAACCAGUCAACUUGAGUAAGACGAAAUAUUAACCUUUGAUUUGCAGCUAUUAUCUCACAUAUUAGUUGAAUGUUAAACAGCAAUUUUUCAAAUCAACCUAAUCAAACCAAUUUUAGCUACCAGUUUUUUAACACCACGAGAAACAUGGAUGUUUCUUAAACUCCUCCAGUUACGUUUGUGUUGAAGAUUGUAUUCUAUCUCAGUAAUUCUAUCUCAUAACAAAAGUUAACGUGAACUAUAACUUUAGUUGUAAUCCCUCGUUAAAUUAUAUAGAACCUUUUGUAACCAUAGAAUCCGAUUGUACCAGCCUGUGAUUCAGAGCAACUUGGCUGUAAAUACAAGUACGUUACAUGUGCUUGUUACGUGCACACCGAACUAUAUCUCAACUUACAAUAUUUACUUAUGUUUUUAUUUAUCGUGUUAGGUUAUUAGGUAAACGUAUGAAAAUAUUUACACUAUGUUUGGGAUUUAUUUUGCCACGUGAAAUUAUCUUUCACCGGGUUGUAUCAUCAACCGAGCUUCUCGGAAGCCAAACCGAUCAACUCAAUCUUUUAUCAGCCUCACGAUUAUGUUACAUACGUGUACGACUAAUGUUUGCCUCUUGAAACAAAUUACUCGUUUCCAUAAGCUGAUUCAUUGCAAGAAGAUAACGUAAAUGACAGCAAAGUCUAAGGCAAGAUUUAAAAAAGUAGUUUAGCAACAUCACUUUCUUGGUGUUGAUCAAUGUCGUUUCUCAACAUCUCGGUUGCAAGACACUGUGCAUGUACAAUGGCUACAAAAAUUACUGCGCGUACUCUUGCAAAUACUAUUCGCAUAUCAUAGCAUUUAUUAAAUAUAACAUCUACAUAAAUUUCGUGUUAUUCAAUGCUAUACAAAUAUGACGUAUGUAUGGGAAUGUAAAAUAUAUUUAAAAAAAAUGCUUCGUUCAGUUCAUCUUCUUUGUUGUACAUCUCAAUAUUGCCACCUGACACCGUCCAUAUUUAGUGAACAGUUAAUGUUCGUCUAAGUAGCUGGUAAGGAAAUAGUAAAGCAUGGGGUUCAAGCGAAGAAAGAUGUAGGGAAAGAUGAAAGAAAAGUAAAGAAUAGAGGAAUGAAUAGAGUACAGACUGUCGCGCAAAUUUCUGUUAUAAAGAAAAGCUGCUUUGUGGUGUGAACCCUAUUGACCUACCAUUCACGACACAGCACACAAUUCUAAAAUGGCACCAAAUUAGAUGAACCAAUUAUUGAAAAAGAUUGAAAAUAUCCCAAGAAUCGAGGAAAGUACAUAUCCAGUUCAGAACAAAGUGGAUGAAACAGGCUGAAAUUUAUCAGACCAGAUUUACCAGACAUAUGGGAUCUAGAAAUAUGGUAAGCAUUUAUCGAAAAAUCAAUUUCUUCGUAUGAAAAAA